AGUGAUUCCUACGGGAGGCAGCAGUGGGGAAUAUUGGACAAUGGGCGAAAGCCUGAUCCAGCAAUGCCGCGUGAGUGAUGAAUUCCUUAAGGCCGUUAGGCUCCUUUACCCGGGAUGAUAAUGACAGUACCGGGAGAAUAAGCUCCGGCUACCUAAAAGGCCAGCAGCCGCGGUAAU
rnacentral:rRNA from 1 species